rnacentral:tRNA from 1 species
GGUGGGUUGGCCGAGAGGCGAGGCAGCGGCCUGCAAAGCCGUAUACACCGGUUCGAGUCCGGUACCCACCU